rnacentral:rRNA from 1 species
CAGCAGCCGCGGUAAAACGAAGGGGGCUAGCGUUGUUCGGAUUUACUGGGCGUAAAGGGCGCGUAGGCGGACUGAUAAGUCAGGGGUGAAAUCCCAAGGCUCAACCUUGGAACUGCCUUUGAUACUGUUUGUCUUGAGUUCGAGAGAGGUAAGUGGAACUGCGAGUGUAGAGGUGAAAUUCGUAGAUAUUCGCAAGAACACCAGUGGCGAAGGCGGCUUACUGGCUCGAAACUGACGCUGAGGCGCGAAAGCGUGGGGAGCAAACAGGAUUAGAUACCCCCGUAGUCCCUGUCUCUUAUAC